rnacentral:tRNA from 1 species
ACUUGUAUAGCUUAUGUUUAGAGCACAACAUUGAAGAUGUUGUUGAGGUUAAUAGACCUUCAAGUG